rnacentral:tRNA from 1 species
UCCCAAAUAGUCUAUCGGUUAGGAUAUUCCGCUUUCAUUGUGCAAUGAUACCCGGAAAGGGCCGAGUUCGAUUCUCGGUUUGGGAA